rnacentral:rRNA from 1 species
AUGAACGCUAGCUACAGGCUUAACACAUGCAAGUCGAGGGGCAUCAGGAAGAAAGCUUGCUUUCUUUGCUGGCGACCGGCGCACGGGUGAGUAACACGUAUCCAACCUGCCCUUUACUCGGGGAUAGCCUUUCGAAAGAAAGAUUAAUACCCGAUAGUAUAAUGAUUCCGCAUGGUUUGAUUAUUAAAGGAUUCCGGUAAAGGAUGGGGAUGCGUUCCAUUAGGUUGUUGGUGAGGUAACGGCUCACCAAGCCUUCGAUGGAUAGGGGUUCUGAGAGGAAGGUCCCCCACAUUGGAACUGAGACACGGUCCAAACUCCUACGGGAGGCAGCAGUGAGGAAUAUUGGUCAAUGGGCGAUGGCCUGAACCAGCCAAGUAGCGUGAAGGAUGACUGCCCUAUGGGUUGUAAACUUCUUUUAUAUUAGAAUAAAGUGCAGUAUGUAUACUGUUUUGUAUGUAUAAUAUGAAUAAGGAUCGGCUAACUCCGUGCCAGCAGCCGCGGUAAUACGGAGGAUCCGAGCGUUAUCCGGAUUUAUUGGGUUUAAAGGGAGCGUAGGUGGACUGGUAAGUCAGUUGUGAAAGUUUGCGGCUCAACCGUAAAAUUGCAGUUGAUACUGUCAGUCUUGAGUACAGUAGAGGUGGGCGGAAUUCGUGGUGUAGCGGUGAAAUGCUUAGAUAUCACGAAGAACUCCGAUUGCGAAGGCAGCUCACUGGACUGCAACUGACACUGAUGCUCGAAAGUGUGGGUAUCAAACAGGAUUAGAUACCCUGGUAGUCCACACAGUAAACGAUGAAUACUCGCUGUUUGCGAUAUACAGUAAGCGGCCAAGCGAAAGCAUUAAGUAUUCCACCUGGGGAGUACGCCGGCAACGGUGAAACUCAAAGGAAUUGACGGGGGCCCGCACAAGCGGAGGAACAUGUGGUUUAAUUCGAUGAUACGCGAGGAACCUUACCCGGGCUUAAAUUGCAGUGGAAUGAUGUGGAAACAUGUCAGUGAGCAAUCACCGCUGUGAAGGUGCUGCAUGGUUGUCAUCAGCUCGUGCCGUGAGGUGUCGGCUUAAGUGCCAUAACGAGCGCAACCCUUAUCUUUAGUUACUAACAGGUCAUGCUGAGGACUCUGGAGAGACUGCCGUCGUAAGAUGUGAGGAAGGUGGGGAUGACGUCAAAUCAGCACGGCCCUUACGUCCGGGGCUACACACGUGUUACAAUGGGGGGUACAGAAGGCAGCUACCUGGUGACAGGAUGCUAAUCCCAAAAGCCUCUCUCAGUUCGGAUCGAAGUCUGCAACCCGACUUCGUGAAGCUGGAUUCGCUAGUAAUCGCGCAUCAGCCACGGCGCGGUGAAUACGUUCCCGGGCCUUGUACACACCGCCCGUCAAGCCAUGGGAGCCGGGGGUACCUGAAGUACGUAACCGCAAGGAGCGUCCUAGGGUAAAACUGGUGACUGGGGCU